rnacentral:lncRNA from 1 species
UCCUAGGCAAGAGGACCAAGUGUGGGCGGGUAGGUAUCGGCAAGGCGGGCUGUCGGCAUGGUGUUGGAGUUGGUCGGUAGUGGUGCACCUACGCCAUGUAUGGAUCAAUACUCUAGGAGGUUCCAUUGAGGCCCAGUCUAUCCAGGUAGUUUGUUAUGCUACUGACUUAGAUACACUUUAUUUAUCAAGGAUUUUUGUAUAUCAUAAUAUCAAAGGCAAAAGGGUCUGUCUAUGGAUGCACUUCUUAUGGUCAUGUACAUUUCAGAGCCACUGUUAUUCAUCAAGAACAUAAUUUAACUAAAGCUCGUUAAAAAAAUUGCCCAUAGAAAUAAUCACUUUGGAUUGGUAGUGUCAAAAGGAUGCAGAACAUUUGUAACAUUUCUUCCCAUAUUCAUUAGACUUUCACUCUGCUGUUGCAUUAGUCAAGUUUAAUUUCAUUACAUAUGUGUGCAUGUAUCAGUUUUCAUAUUUAAAGUGAUAUAUUUAAGAAUUAUCAGAAAUUUUGUCAAAUUUGCUAGGCACAAAACAGAGAUCUGGAAGCAGGACAAACGUCACUGAUAUUUUGUAGGUCAUUUUUGGUGUCGCAUCUCAAAUGGAAUGGCACUCAUGGAGGCAAUUGAACCAAGCUAUGGCAUUGUAGUUUUAUCUCUCUAUUGCCACUGUUGGCUUUUGCUCUCUUGUGUUCCUGCUCAUAUUACUGAACUUAAUGUUAGCUAAUUAGCUUUUGUAAUUAUACGACCGUGCUGAAUUGGAUGUUGCCUUGCUUCUGAGACGGGUUAGCUUUUAUAAUCUCAUGACCAUAUUGAAUUUGAUGAUGUUACACUUCUGGUACAGUGUGGAUGUUUCUUCUUACCAUUGAACUCGAUAAUUGGUUGUCCUGUUACAUCUGCUAAAUUUGCCUUCAUACUAAUGCAUCAUGCCGCUUGAUCUUCCACGGCUUGACCAUAUCGUUAGGAC